CAAAACUGUACUCACCGAGGGGCAGCCCGAGGAGCCUACUGCGGUAUGGGCCUUGGUGGGGGUCAGGCCAGGAACGGGCGAACUGGAGAGCUAGUGCGUCACCCUCCUCCGCAUCUUAGCUCCGCCCCGGCCCCUCCUCCAGCAGGUGGAAGCUGCCUCGCCAGGACUCCCCAGCAUAAACAUCUACAAACCUAUUUGAUAUCAAAUAAA
rnacentral:lncRNA from 1 species